GUUACGACACUAUAAGAAAAGGACACAAGGGUUUAGAAGCUGACAUAUUCUAAGUUAAAAUUCCAAAUAAUUGAGCCGAUGCUCAGGGUACAGUGGUUACACGGGGUACACAUGGGUACAGCAGGUUACAACACUAUAAGAAAUGGAUACAAGGGUUUAGAAGCUGAAAUUUUCUAAGUUAAAAUUCCAAAUAAUUGAGCCGAUGCUCAGGGUACAGUGGUUACAAAGGGUACACAUGGGUACAGCAGGUUACAACACUAUAAGAAAUGGAUACAAGGGUUUAGAAGCUGAAAUUUUCUAAGUUACAAUUCCAAAUAAUUGAGCCGAUGCUCAGGGUACAGUGAUUACACAGGGUACACUUGGGUACAGCAGGUUACAACACUAUAAGAAAAGGAUACAAGGGUUUAGAAGCUGAAAUAUUCCAAGUUAAAAUUCCAAAUAAUUGAGCCGAUGCUCAGGGUACAGUGGUUACAAAGGGUACACUUGGGUACAGCAGGUUACAACACUUUAAGAAAUGGAUACAAUGGAUUAGAAGACUGAAAUUUUCUAAGUUAAAAUUCCAAACAAUUGAGCUGAUGCUCAGGGUACAGUGGUUACACAGGGUACACAUGGGUACAGCAGGUUACAACACUAUAAGAAAUGGAUACAAGGGUUUAGAAGCUGAAAUUUUCUAAGUUAAAAU